rnacentral:rRNA from 1 species
CAGCCGCCGCGGGAAUACGAAGGGUGCAAGCGUUACUCGGAAUUACUGGGCGUAAAGCGUGCGUAGGUGGUGGUUUAAGUCCGUUGUGAAAGCCCUGGGCUCAACCUGGGAAUUGCAGUGGAUACUGGGUCACUAGAGUGUGGUAGAGGAUAGUGGAAUUUCUGGUGUAGCAGUGAAAUGCGUAGAGAUCGGAAGGAACAUCUGUGGCGAAGGCGACUAUCUGGGCCAACACUGACACUGAGGUGCGAAAGCGUGGGGAGCAAACAGGAUUAGAUACCCGAGUAGUCCCUGUCUCUUAUAC